UUAAGCGACUAAGCGUACACGGUGGAUGCCCUGGCAGUCAGAGGCGAUGAAGGACGUGCUAAUCUGCGAUAAGCGUCGGUAAGGUGAUAUGAACCGUUAUAACCGGCGAUUUCCGAAUGGGGAAACCCAGUGUGUUUCGACACACUAUCAUUAACUGAAUCCAUAGGUUAAUGAGGCGAACCGGGGGAACUGAAACAUCUAAGUACCCCGAGGAAAAGAAAUCAACCGAGAUUCCCCCAGUAGCGGCGAGCGAACGGGGAGCAGCCCAGAGCCUGAAUCAGUGUGUGUGUUAGUGGAAGCGUCUGGAAAGGCGCGCGAUACAGGGUGACAGCCCCGUACACAAAAAUGCACAUGCUGUGAGCUCGAUGAGUAGGGCGGGACACGUGGUAUCCUGUCUGAAUAUGGGGGGACCAUCCUCCAAGGCUAAAUACUCCUGACUGACCGAUAGUGAACCAGUACCGUGAGGGAAAGGCGAAAAGAACCCCGGCGAGGGGAGUGAAAAAGAACCUGAAACCGUGUACGUACAAGCAGUGGGAGCACGCUUAGGCGUGUGACUGCGUACCUUUUGUAUAAUGGGUCAGCGACUUAUAUUCUGUAGCAAGGUUAACCGAAUAGGGGAGCCGAAGGGAAACCGAGUCUUAACUGGGCGUUAAGUUGCAGGGUAUAGACCCGAAACCCGGUGAUCUAGCCAUGGGCAGGUUGAAGGUUGGGUAACACUAACUGGAGGACCGAACCGACUAAUGUUGAAAAAUUAGCGGAUGACUUGUGGCUGGGGGUGAAAGGCCAAUCAAACCGGGAGAUAGCUGGUUCUCCCCGAAAGCUAUUUAGGUAGCGCCUCGUGAAUUCAUCUCCGGGGGUAGAGCACUGUUUCGGCAAGGGGGUCAUCCCGACUUACCAACCCGAUGCAAACUGCGAAUACCGGAGAAUGUUAUCACGGGAGACACACGGCGGGGUGCUAACGUCCGUCGUGAAGAGGGAAACAACCCAGACCGCCAGCUAAGGUCCCAAAGUCAUGGUUAAGUGGGAAACGAUGUGGGAAGGCCCAGACAGCCAGGAUGUUGGCUUAGAAGCAGCCAUCAUUUAAAGAAAGCGUAAUAGCUCACUGGUCGAGUCGGCCUGCGCGGAAGAUGUAACGGGGCUAAACCAUGCACCGAAGCUGCGGCAGCGACGCUUAUGCGUUGUUGGGGUAGGGGAGCGUUCUGUAAGCCUGUGAAGGUGUGCUGUGAGGCAUGCUGGAGGUAUCAGAAGUGCGAAUGCUGACAUAAGUAACGAUAAAGCGGGUGAAAAGCCCGCUCGCCGGAAGACCAAGGGUUCCUGUCCAACGUUAAUCGGGGCAGGGUGAGUCGACCCCUAAGGCGAGGCCGAAAGGCGUAGUCGAUGGGAAACAGGUUAAUAUUCCUGUACUUGGUGUUACUGCGAAGGGGGGACGGAGAAGGCUAUGUUGGCCGGGCGACGGUUGUCCCGGUUUAAGCGUGUAGGCUGGUUUUCCAGGCAAAUCCGGAAAAUCAAGGCUGAGGCGUGAUGACGAGGCACUACGGUGCUGAAGCAACAAAUGCCCUGCUUCCAGGAAAAGCCUCUAAGCAUCAGGUAACAUCAAAUCGUACCCCAAACCGACACAGGUGGUCAGGUAGAGAAUACCAAGGCGCUUGAGAGAACUCGGGUGAAGGAACUAGGCAAAAUGGUGCCGUAACUUCGGGAGAAGGCACGCUGAUAUGUAGGUGAAGUCCCUCGCGGAUGGAGCUGAAAUCAGUCGAAGAUACCAGCUGGCUGCAACUGUUUAUUAAAAACACAGCACUGUGCAAACACGAAAGUGGACGUAUACGGUGUGACGCCUGCCCGGUGCCGGAAGGUUAAUUGAUGGGGUUAGCCGCAAGGCGAAGCUCUUGAUCGAAGCCCCGGUAAACGGCGGCCGUAACUAUAACGGUCCUAAGGUAGCGAAAUUCCUUGUCGGGUAAGUUCCGACCUGCACGAAUGGCGUAAUGAUGGCCAGGCUGUCUCCACCCGAGACUCAGUGAAAUUGAACUCGCUGUGAAGAUGCAGUGUACCCGCGGCAAGACGGAAAGACCCCGUGAACCUUUACUAUAGCUUGACACUGAACAUUGAGCCUUGAUGUGUAGGAUAGGUGGGAGGCUUUGAAGUGUGGACGCCAGUCUGCAUGGAGCCGACCUUGAAAUACCACCCUUUAAUGUUUGAUGUUCUAACGUUGACCCGUAAUCCGGGGUUGCGGACAGUGUCUGGUGGGUAGUUUGACUGGGGCGGUCUCCUCCUAAAGAGUAACGGAGGAGCACGAAGGUUGGCUAAUCCUGGUCGGACAUCAGGAGGUUAGUGCAAUGGCAUAAGCCAGCUUGACUGCGAGCGUGACGGCGCGAGCAGGUGCGAAAGCAGGUCAUAGUGAUCCGGUGGUUCUGAAUGGAAGGGCCAUCGCUCAACGGAUAAAAGGUACUCCGGGGAUAACAGGCUGAUACCGCCCAAGAGUUCAUAUCGACGGCGGUGUUUGGCACCUCGAUGUCGGCUCAUCACAUCCUGGGGCUGAAGUAGGUCCCAAGGGUAUGGCUGUUCGCCAUUUAAAGUGGUACGCGAGCUGGGUUUAGAACGUCGUGAGACAGUUCGGUCCCUAUCUGCCGUGGGCGCUGGAGAACUGAGGGGGGCUGCUCCUAGUACGAGAGGACCGGAGUGGACGCAUCACUGGUGUUCGGGUUGUCAUGCCAAUGGCACUGCCCGGUAGCUAAAUGCGGAAGAGAUAAGUGCUGAAAGCAUCUAAGCACGAAACUUGCCCGAGAUGAGUUCUCCCUGACUCCUUGAGAGUCCUGAAGGAACGUUGAAGACGACGACGUUGAUAGGCCGGGUGUGUAAGCGCAGCGAUGCGUUGAGCUAACCGGUACUAAUGAACCGUGAGGCUUAACCUU
rnacentral:rRNA from 1 species